GCCGGCGUAGCUCAGUGGUAGAGCGGCGAUCUUGUAAGUCGAGGGUCGGGGGUUCAAAUCCCUCCGCCGGCA
rnacentral:tRNA from 1 species